rnacentral:rRNA from 1 species
CUUGUUAUUUGGGAUUUGAAAUUUCAGAUCUUAAAACCUGUUUGUCAUUGAUGGGCUCCUCAGAGACUAAACGCAAAGCAUCUCAUUUUCCUCGCAUUCAAUUGCGAAGACCGAAGGGUAACUUUCUUUGGUUGGCGAUGAGUUGAAGAUAUAGUCCGAGCUGCAUGGCGACAUGUAGAGGUUGACAGAAAUGGUCAACCCGCCGUCAAAGUUAGUAAUAUUGGUUUUGUUAUGCUUUCAGUCUUGCGUCAUGUUACAUUUGUUGUAACAGUUUGGCGCGGUUCGCUACCAUUGAAAGCAAAAACUAAUCAACUUUGAUCGGUAGUAACAAAUCGGGACGGUCCUAAGGUAGCGAAGUUCCUUGUCGGGUAAGUUCCGACCUGCAUGAAAGGCGUAACGACAGAAGCACUGUCUCAACCAGUGACCCGGUGAAAUUGUAGUCGUGGUGAAGAUGCCACGUUCCCGCAGCUAGACGGAAAGACCCCGUGAACCUUUACUAUAGGCUGAUAUUGGGCUGUGGUAUGUACUGUGUAGGAUAGGUGGGAGGCUUUGAACUCCGGACGCCAGUUCGGAGGGAGCCUUUGGUGAAAUACCACCCUUUACAUGCUUUAGUUCUAACGCUGAUUCCCGUGAAUCCGGGCAGCGAACAGUGUCAGUUGGGUAGUUUGACUGGGGCGGUCUCCUCCUAAAGAGUAACGGAGGAGCCCAAUAGGUACCCUCAGCCUGGUUGGCAAUCAGGCUUCGAGCGCAAAGGUAUAAGGGUGCUAAACUGUGAGACUUAUCAGUCGAACAGGUACGAAAGUAGGGCUUAGUGAUCCGGUGGUUCCGUAUGGAAGGGCCAUCGCUCAACAGAUAAAAGGUACUCCGGGGAUAACAGGCUUAUCGCUCCCGAGCGUCCAUAGCGGCGGAGCGGUUUGGCACCUCGAUGUCGGCUCAUCACAUCCUGGGGGUGAAGAAGCUCCCAAGGGUUUGGCUGUUCGCCAAUGAAAGUGGUACGUGAGCUGGGUUCAGACCGUCGUGAGACAGGUCGGUCCCUAUCUGCCGUGGGCGUACGAAACUUGAGGAGGUUCUUCUUUAGUACGAGAGGAUUUGGAAGGACGGCCCUCUGGUGUUCCAGUUGUCGCGCUAGCGGCACGGCUGGGUAGCUAAGGUCGGAAAGGAUAAACGCUGAAAGCAUAUAAGCGUGAAGCCCUCUCCAAGAUUAGGUUUCGUAGGCCAAUGGCCGAGAGUCCCCUGGAAGACUACCAGGUUGAUAGGCCGGAUGUGUAAGCACAGUAAUGUGUUCAGCUAACCGGUACUAAUGGACGAACGCUUGACCGC